rnacentral:rRNA from 1 species
ACAUACGGUUGAAAUUCCGUAGCCGCCGAAAUUGUUAAGCACAGGGACACAUAGAGAUAUCCGAACCCGGGCGUUGGUUGACCCGGGCGCAAGGGACCGAACAUUAGUAGGGAAGUCGGAGAUGCUCUGUGGCGAGAAAAGCUGUGCGUAUUGAUUAGGCGCCCGUACCGCAAACCAACACAGGUAGAUGAGGAGAGAAUCCUAAGGCCAACGGGAGAAGGGUUGUUAAGGAACUCGGCAAAUUGACCCCGUAACUUCGGGAUAAGGGGAGCCUCCUACGGGAGGCCGCAGUGAAUAGGCCCAAGCAACUGUUUACCAAAAACACAGGUCUCUGCUAAAUCGAAAGAUGACGUAUAGGGGCUGACGCCUGCCCGGUGCCGGAAGGUUAAGAGGAGAGCUUAGCGCAAGCGAAGGUUCGAAUUGAAGCCCCAGUAAACGGCGGCCGUAACGAUAACGGUCCUAAGGUAGCGAAAUUCCUUGUCAGGUAAGUUCUGACCGCACGAAUGGCGUAAUGAUUUGGGCACUGUCUCAACAGCCCGCCCGGCGAAUUUGUAGUACUGGUGAAGAUGCCAGUUACCCGCAACUAGACGGAAAGACCCCAUGGAGCUUUACUGUAGCUUAAUACUGAAGAUCGGUAAUGCAUGUACAGGAUAGGUGGGAGCCUAGGAAACCCGGGCGUCAGCUUGGGCGGAGGCAACCUUGGAAUACCACCCUUGUAUUGCUGGUUUUCUAACCUGCGGCCAUGAAUCUGGUCGGGGGACACUGUUAGGUGGGCAGUUUGACUGGGGCGGUCGCCUCCAAAAGCGUAACGGAGGCGCUCAAAGGUUGGCUCAGCACGGACGGAAAUCGUGCAUAGAGUGCAAACGCAUAAGCCAACUUGACUGCGAGACCGACGGGUCGAGCAGGUACGAAAGUAGGAGUUAGUGAUCCGGUGGUAUGUGAGUGGAAAUGCCAUCGCUCAACGGAUAAAAGCUACCCUGGGGAUAACAGGCUGAUCUCCCCCAAGCGUCCACAGCGACGGGGAGGUUUUGGCAUCUCGAUGUCGGCUCGUCACAUCCUGGGGCUGGAUUCGGUCCCAAGGGUUCGGCUGUUCGCCGAUUAAAGUGGCACGCGAGCUGGGUUCAGAACGUCGUGAGACAGUUCGGUCCCUAUCUGUUGCGGGCGCAGGAGAUCUGAAGGGAGCUGUCCUUAGUACGAGAGGACCGGGAUGGACAGACCUCUGGUGCACCAGUUGUCGUGCCAACGGCACAGCUGGGUAGCUACGUCUGGACGAGAUAAACGCUGAAAGCAUCUAAGUGUGAAACUCCCCCUAAGAUAAGAUCUCCCAUCCUUUAUGGAGUAAGGGACGACAAAGACUAUGUCGUUGAUAGGUCGGAAGUGUAAGUGCAGUAAUGCAUUAAGCUGACCGAUACUAAUAACCC